GUCUAGAUAGCUCAGUUGGUAGAGCAUCAGACUUUUAAUCUGGUGGUCCAGGGUUCAAGUCCCUGUUUGGACA